rnacentral:tRNA from 1 species
GGAGAUUUAGCUCAGCGGUAGAGCACUUGCCUAGCAAGCGCAAGGCUCUGGGUUCGGUUCCCAGCUCCG